rfam:Equus caballus chromosome 20, whole genome shotgun sequence.
CCAAAGGCUCUUUUAAGAGCCACUAAGUUGUCAACAUUAGAGCUGU